GACCGCGUAGCUCAGUUGGAAGAGCAUUGGGCUGGUAUUCCAAAGGUCGUAGGUUCGAAUCCCGCCGUGGCCA